UGCGUAGGCGGACUAAUAAGUCAGUGGUGAAAUCUUUCGGCUCAACCGAGAAGCUGCCAUUGAUACUGUUAGUCUUGAGUUCGGUUGAGGUAGGCGGAAUGUGUAAUGUAGCGGUGAAAUGCUUAGAUAUUACACAGAACACCAAUUGCGUAGGCAGCUUACUAGACCGACACUGACGCUGAGGCACGAAAGCGUGGGGAGCGAACAGGAUUAGAUACCCUGGUAGUCC
rnacentral:rRNA from 1 species